UUCAAACCCUGGAACCCUGGAACUUCUCAAUCUCACUGGCUUCUACUGUGCAAAUUCCAAAGCCAGAAGAGGAAGAGGAGGACAGAAUUUCGCCACAGAUGUGAGAGGAAGAAGCGAACAAGGAUUGUCCGUGGUAUGGAAGGGAAGGGAGAGCCAAAUGGGGAGACUGGGCAGCUCUUCUCCACCUUUGAAAGACACGGAAGAGAGGAGCCCAGAAUCCAGCUUGGUACAAAGAAAGAGAGUUUUAGCUGAUCCAACAAAUAAAAAAGACCUCUUGGAGAUGUACAGCAUGAUGCAGAGGAUGUACAUGAAGUACAAAAUGACUCCCAUAUCUAUAUGGGGAAUAUGUUCCAAGUGUUGGGAAUCACCCUGGACUACUCAAGUCUAAAUGUAGUCAGAUAGAUGAUAGGAUUAGAUUGAGGGAAUCCUUUGCCUGUUUCCAAAGCAUGCCUAGAUAGGCUUUACUGUGUUUCACUCUAUCCUGUUUACGUCACAUCCCUUACUUUGAAGUUAGUAGAAAUGUGACUCUUCAGGGACACUAACUUCUCAUUGGUCAGAAUGUUUUUUAUGGCCCCAAUAAACUGGACCAUGAGAUUGGAACCAUUUUGGUUCAGUCUUCUCC
rnacentral:lncRNA from 11 species